CGCUAUGACGUGGAUUAUACCUAUUUUACAACUAGAAAAACAGAGUCCAGAGAGGUGAAAGUGCAUAGAGAGUGAAUAACAGAGUAGGGCAUUGAACUAGGUAGUCCAGCCCUGGAACUUGAGUUUUUAACCUCUGGGCCAAGGCCUGCAUAAAGGGCUGGGUGGCAGAACUGAGUGAAGUGUGUGGUUCUAGAGGAAUACCUGAGUGUGCAUUGCGGCUUCCCCAUGAUGGGUUCAAUGAUCUUGAGUAAGGCACUUAAUCAUUGGGAACCUCAGUUUGCCCAUCUGUUAAGUGGGGAUAGUAUUAAUCCUAGAAUUUAGUUCCUAGAGGUUUUGUAGGAUCAAAUGAGAUGGUACACAUGAAAUACUUAGCACAGGGCCUGGAGCACAGUGAGCACGUGAUCAGCGUUUAUUUUUUUCUUCCUUUUACAUAACUGCCCUGAUGCAGGAGUCAGCACACAGGACUGGACAGCUGGAUCAUGGGUCAGGUAGGGCCAUGGCUGCUUCUCUGCUUCCAGGUUCUACUGAGAUGUGGGGAUGGAAUAAGAACGGGCAGCAGCUGCAGCAUGGGCACCCCCAAAGGCUCCAAGAGGUACCCAGAGCAGGCAUGUAUGUUACAGGAGGGCAGCCGGAACAGGCUGGGAUCUGACCCGAGAGGAUUGUGGAACAAAGCAUGAAACCCCAGCAGGCACAGCUUUGCUUCUGUUAAGUGAGGAGCAGUCUAGAGCUCUGAGGUUCAAAGAUUCUGGACACAUCUGAAAAGUGAAAGAAGCCAGGGCACCUGGAGCACUGCAAGCGAGGAGCAAAGUGAUGGCGAUGAGGCUGGAGAGCAAGGCAGGAGCUGGGUUAUGUGCUGCCUGGGAGCCUACGGGACCAGGAAGAGGAUGUGAGUCUCCAAAUCCUUUAUGAAUCUGCUGGGCCAAGCAGAGAUUAGAUUCAGCAAUUGUAGAUGCUGCUGCUUCUAUCUCUUCUUCUAAUAUCUCAAGACAUUCUAAUUACUCCCCCUGCAGAAAGAGAGAGAGAGAGAGAAAGAGAGAGGACAAACAUAUACAGAUGGUAGGAAAGGCAACUAAAAUGAUCAAGAGGGACGGGACAGCAAUUAGGAUUCUUAAAUCUGGAAAGAUAAGACUGACAGAGGACGGGAUGAAAGCUUUUCACUUGGGAAAGAUGGAGCGUAUGUCAAAAUUCUAACAUCUUAGUCCUAAAUUCCUUCUUCUCCUCCAUCCCCGUAAAACUUGACAGGAGAUAAUUUUAGGAGAACUAAAGGGAACCCACUUUACUCAGGGAGUAGUAUUAAAUCCUGCAACUCUCUAUCCCCAAGAGACACUGCACAGGCGGAACAUGUAAAUAACCUCAAGAAGGGUUUACAAAUUUCAAAGAUUAAAGUUCCCUAAUGAGCCAGAGAGUGCAGUUCAGUAUUUUACGGUGCUACCCUUAAUCCGACACUCAGUAAGCAAGCUCCUUGCUGUUCUGAGCAGAACCAAAUAUUCCAGAUCUGAACAUUUGUAAUUCUCAGACUCAUUGGCCGUGCAGCCCUGAUGUUCAUUGCAUGUUCCAUUCUGCAGACAAGGUGGUGCGUUCAGGGGUUGUCUGUUUUUGACUGUCCUUAAAAGAUGUUCUCAACCCAUGGGGAAGAGUUUGUGCUGGGUUGUGUAAGCUACAGCUGCUGGGGAAGGAGAACUGGACUUGAGUCAGGAGCCCUGGGCUGGAGUUCUAGCACUAUUAUUUUUAAUUGUGUGGAAAUACUCAUAACACAAAGUCUGCUAUUGUAACCAUUAUUAAAGAUUACAGUUUGGUGGCACUUGGUAUAUUCACAGUGCUGUGUGAUAAUUACCACUAUCUAGUUUCAAAACAUUUUUGGCCCUUAAAAGGAAGCCCCAUUCUCUUAAGCAAUCACUGCC
rnacentral:lncRNA from 1 species